rnacentral:rRNA from 1 species
AUUGAACGCUGGCGGCAGGCCUAACACAUGCAAGUCGAACGGUAACAGGAAGCAGCUUGCUGCUUCGCUGACGAGUGGCGGACGGGUGAGUAAUGUCUGGGAAACUGCCUGAUGGAGGGGGAUAACUACUGGAAACGGUAGCUAAUACCGCAUAACGUCGCAAGACCAAAGAGGGGGACCUUCGGGCCUCUUGCCAUCGGAUGUGCCCAGAUGGGAUUAGCUAGUAGGUGGGGUAACGGCUCACCUAGGCGACGAUCCCUAGCUGGUCUGAGAGGAUGACCAGCCAAACUGGAACUGAGACACGGUCCAGACUCCUACGGGAGGCAGCAGUGGGGAAUAUUGCACAAUGGGCGCAAGCCUGAUGCAGCCAUGCCGCGUGUAUGAAGAAGGCCUUCGGGUUGUAAAGUACUUUCAGCGGGGAGGAAGGGAGUAAAGUUAAUACCUUUGCUCAUUGACGUUACCCGCAGAAGAAGCACCGGCUAACUCCGUGCCAGCCGCCGCAGUAA